rnacentral:rRNA from 1 species
GAUGAACGCUGGCGGCGUGCCUAAUACAUGCAAGUCGAGCGAACAGACGAGGAGCUUGCUCCUCUGACGUUAGCGGCGGACGGGUGAGUAACACGUGGAUAACCUACCUAUAAGACUGGGAUAACUUCGGGAAACCGGAGCUAAUACCGGAUAAUAUAUUGAACCGCAUGGUUCAAUAGUGAAAGACGGUUUUGCUGUCACUUAUAGAUGGAUCCGCGCCGCAUUAGCUAGUUGGUAAGGUAACGGCUUACCAAGGCAACGAUGCGUAGCCGACCUGAGAGAGUGAUCAGCCACACUGGAACUGAGACACGGUCCAGACUCCUACGGGAGGCAGCAGUAGGGAAUCUUCCGCAAUGGGCGAAAGCUUGACGGAGCAACGCCGCGUGAGUGAUGAAGGUCUUCGGAUCGUAAAACUCUGUUAUUAGGGAAGAACAAAUGUGUAAGUAACUAUGCACGUCUUGACGGUACCUAAUCAGAAAGCCACGGCUAACUACGUG